rnacentral:misc_RNA from 1 species
AAAAAAAAAAAAAAGCUCUCGUGUUUUUUUCCUCUGCGAAAGGUUUAGUAGUCUUGGUUCAUGCUUCAGAGCAAGGAACGGGAAACAGUAGCUUCAGUUCAAACAAAGAUGAUGAUGAUUUGAAGAAGAAGAAGAUUGACAGAGGAGCACAUGAAUGUUGGUGUUGUACCAUUCAAGAAAAAUUAGUGAGGAUUUACAAGUUUUGGUGUUUUUUUCUUUAUCACACGCAAAGCAGCGGUUUCAA